rnacentral:misc_RNA from 1 species
UACGCUUUCUGAACUUUGUUAUUCAAGCCCUAAAUUGUUUUCAGUGAUUUGUCAAAGUUCUUAAAAUGUUAUCCAACCUUUUAUUCCUAAAAUUAAGUGUGACAGCAAUUCUGUGCAUAUAUAUGAUGUUACCAUUGAUUCUUUUUCUCGCCCCUCAAGACGAGGGGCGCCCAUUUUAUCAAAAAUUAAUGGCCUUUUUGAUCAUUUCUUUGUGGCCAAUAUUUACUUUUGUUUCGAUAGUCACCAUAUUAUUGUCACAACGAUAUCCGAAAUUAACUCUCGCAAGUGCUGUUGUUUGGCUAGUAAUAUCCCAUUUAACUCUCAUGUUUUUACUUCUUAACUGUGGAUUCGUGAAUGCUGUGCAUUGGUACGAUUUUCCGGACUUGUCUUUCAAACUCUUGAAAAACUGCAAACUAUCCUUAUUCAAGUAUCCUGAAAUGGGAUGGAUUCUUUUCGGCGAAAUAUAUGCUUGGCUAACUUUCACUUUAAUAAUAAUAUAUCAUAUAGCAUGGCCUCUCCUAUCGCCAGCUAAGGAAUAGCCAGGAUCGUCCUAUUGUUUUUCCUGUUGUGAGAAAUUAAAUUCAUAUAAAAUAUUUUAUUAUUCAUUGCCAUGUUUAAAAUCCAUCCGAACUCAUCAAGAUCGACAUCCAAAACUGGUGAGGCCAUUUAGAUUUCUGAUAUGCAUACCAUAAGCUAUUUGGAGCGAGAAACUAAACCAGUAAAAAUCUUUGAUCUGGCUGACAUAGCAUUCUUUGGAGCAUGCAACUUUUGUGGCUUGGCAGGAAUUUCUUUGUUACUGGGAGCUAUUGUGUGCAUUAAUAUGGAUAGCCGUGGGAAUACUUUUUUCUGUAACCAUUAUAGUUGGAAUAUACGUGUUUAUUUUGACAAUAACACAUUGGGAUGCGCAUAAUAUCCUGUUGGAUUUUGCGUAUAUCCUUACAGCUAUUUUAUUGACGGGAUCUCUCGUAUUUAUUACUGUAUCACUGUAUUUCUUUGGAAGUGAUAUGAAACAUGAAGAGGCCUCCCGUGACUGGAGAACACCAAAUUGUAAAGGUAAACGAGUGUUUAGGUGGUUUCAUGUAAGAGGAGUAUGGCGGUUGUUUAGAAGGAGG